UGUUUAAUGUACAUACAAACAUGCAUGACUGUGUGUGUGUGUUGACAGUAACACAAAUUAAAAAAUAUUUAUCAGUCAUGCUGCUGUAGCUUUAAACAGCACCGGAAACUACAACCACAGGCUAUUACACCAGCACCACCACCACCACAACCCUGACACAGAGCGGGUAAACUUGUUAUUGCCAGCAUCAGAGUGAGAUCAGCCAGCAGGCAUCACCGCAGUUUAUUCCUGUCCUGUCGAUGCCGCCUGCUGCGCGGACUGCCAGCUUCUCUCCCGGAGACAAGAACAGCGCAUCCGGCUGCUGCAUCCACGGAGCAUCUAUUCUCUGGACUGCUGCCUCACGGCCCCUCGCUCUUCCCGCCACUCGGUCGGGUCUCACCAAGUGGGUGAAGCAUGAAGUCAGCAGACGUCCAUUCAAUUCUACGCCCGCGAUUUGUUGUCAUUGAAACACAGAAAUUGCCAGACAAGACAGCAGAAGUCAUUAGCUUUCCUACCGUUGGCCCGAAAACUGCUGAUGAAGAGCAGCACCGUUUAACGAUGAUGUGCCAUGACACACUUCAUCCGGAGCAGAGCCAGCUGGUUAGAGGAAUAGAGGGCUGGCUACUUUGCCGUGAUGUAGGCUUACUUGCUUACUUGCUGGCUCGGCGUAAAGCACCCAUCCUCUCUCCCACCUCCAUCGCCUUGUAAAAGGUGAGAAUGUGUCAUGUGUGGCACAGGUGUGUCCCAUCCUGACGUAGACCAAGAUACUUACAGUCGGAGGACACCAGUAACUGCAACUGAUCAGCUGGAACAUUGCCUGGGAUGCCAACAUAGCCAGGGACCCAAAUGAAGACAAUGUCCUUGCUGCGACGAAGAAGAGCCGCGUGAAUGGUAUGGAGCUGGACCGUGAUAUGGUGGUCAACAAGAGCUUGGAGAGCAGAUAGCGAGUUUGAUAUGAAAUGAUAAAGAAGUUCUGCUCCGAAGACUGGUCAACGUGCUGCAAGGCUACACAAAGAAGUCGCGAUUCUGACCUCUUCUGUACUUGGUGAUGUUCAUAGCAUGUCUCAGCGACGGAAGAGAAGGGUUCACCUGGAUAUGUAGAAAUAAUGUGUUGCACUGAGCUCUACCUAGUCAUUACAAAACACUGCUCCCCACUAGUUCUUUAAGACAACCAUGUAAAAAUGCUUUUAAUGCGCUGAGCUGGCGGAACAAACUCGAGGAGUAAUCAGAAAAGGUAGAUUUCUUUGAACAGAACAAAGUAUUUGAAGACAAUAUAAAACGGAUGCAACUUAUCAACAACAACAAAAAAAAA